ACGAACGCUGGCGGCGUGCCUAAUACAUGCAAGUAGAACGCUGAAGAGAGGAGCUUGCUCUUCUUGGAUGAGUUGCGAACGGGUGAGUAACGCGUAGGUAACCUGCCUUGUAGCGGGGGAUAACUAUUGGAAACGAUAGCUAAUACCGCAUAACAAUGGAUGACACAUGUCAUUUAUUUGAAAGGGGCAAUUGCUCCACUACAAGAUGGACCUGCGUUGUAUUAGCUAGUAGGUGAGGUAACGGCUCACCUAGGCGACGAUACAUAGCCGACCUGAGAGGGUGAUCGGCCACACUGGGACUGAGACACGGCCCAGACUCCUACGGGAGGCAGCAGUAGGGAAUCUUCGGCAAUGGGGGCAACCCUGACCGAGCAACGCCGCGUGAGUGAAGAAGGGUUUCGGAUCGUAAAGCUCUGUUGUAAGUCAAGAACGAGUGUGAGAGUGGAAAGUUUACACUGUGACGGUAGCUUACCAGAAAGGGACGGCUAACUACGUG
rnacentral:rRNA from 1 species